CAAAACACCUCCAGUGAGCGGCAGUUCUGCAGACGGAAACGCCUUGUUGAUGAGAGAGGUCAACAAAGAAUGGCCAGACUGGUUCGAGCUGACUGAAAGGCUACAGUAACUCAGAUAACCACUCUGUACAAUUGUAGUGAGCAGAAUAGCAUCUCAGAAUGCACAACACAUCAAACCUUGAGGCGGAUGGGCUACAACAGCAGAAGACCUCAUCAGGCACUUUAUUAGGACCAUAGUCUUCCUAAUAAAGUGCUCAGUGAGUGUAUAUUGUAAUGUAAUACUAUAGUUUACAUAUAUUGUGAAGUAAAAAUUCAAAAUAUGAUUUGCGAUCAUGUUAAUGUAAGAUGUUACAUUAAUAAAACAAAAGUUUCUGUUGCUUCACAGUGUCAAAACUACUUUUCUAUUCUAGCUCAUAUUUUCUAAGACAUCUUGGAAUAUUACAGGACUUCCCAUAUUACUCUCCAUUUAGGAUGAAUCACUCAUGUUGUAGAGUUAUUCAUUCUUGAGUCACUUUGGAUAACAUUGUAAAGGAAUAAAUGUGAAUUAUUACAUCUGUUAUAAAUGGCCCGCAGACCAGCUGGAUCACUGGCUCCAUCUAGUUAAGCCCAUCAGUUUGACUGGACAGAAGCUUGUCAGUUUGUCUGAGACACUGUUUUCCUUUGUAACUCCUUUCUUUAUGUCUUAACUGCCACCAAGGCAAACUCCAUUAACAGACUAUUAUUCAAAACACAUUUUAUUCACAUUUACAUAUCUUAUAUUAACAUGCACAGAAUAACCAAAGUAAAAGCAGUGGGCAUAUUCAAAUGACAAGAAAAUCAAGAAUGAUGGUCCUGAUGAGAGGAGAGUCAGAACCCUAUUUAUAAUGGCUGGUUCUCAUAGCCCUCACUACCUGAUCAUCAACCCAGGAUCCUGUAAAAAAUGAGGAACCUGAGCAAGAAGUUCGUUUUUAUCACUGUGCUUCUCCAGCUGUUCAUCUCUGUGCAGGAGAUUAGUGGCCAACCUCGGGCAAAUCAACAGCAGCCUGUCUUUGGAGACAUGAUUGAAUUUAGAUGUCAGUUUGUCUACAGUCACUAUGCUAUAUUUGUUGAUGAUGAGACAAUAGAGGGAAAGCAAGAUGGGCAGAACAUUUUUGAGAUGACAAGUAUGACAUCAUGCCUUUUAAUUAUAUUAUAUUUACUGUAAGACUAUGCACCAUUCUUGCGUAAUGCAACUGGCUGCCGAUUCAGUAAACUGGAAGGGAACUUUCGUGUAAAUAAUUAC